rnacentral:sRNA from 1 species
GCGGUGGUGGCUGCGGCGGCGGCGGCGGCGGGAGCAGCAUGGAUUGGGGCACUGAGCUGUGGGAUCAGUUCGAGGUGCUCGAGCGCCACACGCAGUGGGGGCUGGACCUGUUGGACAGAUAUGUAAAGUUCGUGAAAGAACGCACCGAAGUGGAACAGGCUUACGCCAAACAACUGCGGAGCCUGGUGAAAAAAUAUCUGCCCAAGAGACCUGCCAAGGAUGAUCCUGAGUCCAAAUUCAGCCAGCAACAGUCCUUCGUACAGAUUCUCCAGGAGGUGAAUGACUUUGCAGGCCAGCGGGAGCUGGUGGCUGAGAACCUCAGUGUCCGUGUAUGUCUUGAGCUGACCAAGUACUCACAAGAGAUGAAACAGGAGAGGAAGAUGGUGAGGAGCCCCCCGAUUCAGGUUUUACAAAGGGCUUCUGCUGGAACCCUGGCGAGCCUUAUCACUCUUCUUUCUGUAGCACUUCCAAGAAGGGCGGCGGGCCCAGCAGCAGCUGGAAAAUGGCUUUAAACAGCUGGAGAAUAGUAAGCGUAAAUUUGAGCGGGACUGCCGGGAGGCAGAGAAGGCAGCCCAGACUGCUGAACGGCUAGACCAGGAUAUCAACGCCACCAAGGCUGAUGUGGAGAAGGCCAAGCAGCAAGCCCACCUUCGGAGUCAUAUGGCCGAAGAAAGCAAAAACGAAUAUGCAGCUCAACUCCAGCGCUUCAACCGAGACCAAGCCCACUUCUAUUUUUCACAGAUGCCCCAGAUAUUCGAUAAGCUCCAAGACAUGGAUGAACGCAGGGCCACCCGCCUGGGUGCCGGGUAUGGGCUCCUGUCGGAGGCCGAGCUGGAGGUGGUGCCCAUCAUAGCCAAGUGCUUGGAGGGCAUGAAGGUGGCUGCAAAUGCUGUGGAUCCCAAGAACGACUCCCACGUCCUUAUAGAGCUGCACAAGUCAGGUUUUGCCCGCCCGGGCGACGUGGAAUUCGAGGACUUCAGCCAGCCCAUGAACCGUGCACCCUCCGACAGCAGUCUGGGCACCCCCUCGGAUGGACGGCCUGAACUCCGAGGCCCGGGCCGCAGCCGCACCAAGCGCUGGCCUUUUGGCAAGAAGAACAAGACAGUGGUGACCGAGGAUUUUAGCCACCUGCCCCCAGAGCAGCAGCGAAAACGGCUUCAACAGCAGUUGGAAGAACGCAGUCGUGAACUUCAGAAGGAGGUUGACCAGAGGGAAGCCCUAAAGAAAAUGAAGGAUGUCUAUGAGAAGACACCUCAGAUGGGGGACCCCGCCAGCUUGGAGCCCCAGAUCGCUGAAACCCUGAGCAACAUUGAACGGCUGAAAUUGGAAGUGCAGAAGUAUGAGGCGUGGCUGGCAGAAGCUGAAAGUCGAGUCCUUAGCAACCGGGGAGACAGCCUGAGCCGGCACGCCCGGCCUCCCGACCCCCCCGCUAGCGCCCCGCCAGACAGCAGCAGCAACAGCGCAUCACAGGACACCAAGGAGAGGUGAGGGGUGACGUCAGAGUGGGUCUGUUCCCAGGGUCCCAGGAGGGCCUGUCUUUAUCUGCCGAAUUAUCCCCAAACAGCUCUGAAGAGCCUCCCUCAGAAGAGAGCCAGGACACCCCCAUUUACACGGAGUUUGAGGAGGAUUUCGAGGAGGAACCCACAUCCCCCAUAGGUCACUGUGUGGCCAUCUACCACUUUGAAGGGUCCAGCGAGGGCACUAUCUCUAUGGCCGAGGGUGAAGACCUCAGUCUUAUGGAAGAAGACAAAGGGGACGGCUGGACCCGGGUCAGGCGGAAAGAGGGAGGCGAGGGCUACGUGCCCACCUCCUACCUCCGAGUCACGCUCAAUUGAACCCUGCCAGAGACGGGAAGAGGGGGGCUGUCGGCUGCUGCUUCUGGGCCACGGGGGGCCCCAGGACCUAUGCACUUUAUUUCUGACCCCGUGGCUUCGGCUGAGACCUGUGUAACCUGCUGCCCCCUCCACCCCCAACCCAAUCCUACCUGUCACACCGGACAGACCCGCUGUGCCUUCUACCAUCGUUCCACCAUUGAUGUACAUACUCAUGUUUUACAUCUUUUCUUUCUGCCGCUCGGCUCCGGCCAUUUUGUUUUAUACAAAAAUGGAAAAAAAAAAAAGAAAUUAUAUAAAGUUCCUAGAGUCGGUGU